UACGUAGGUGGCAAGCGUUAUCCGGAAUUAUUGGGCGUAAAGCGCGCGUAGGCGGUUUCUUAAGUCUGAUGUGAAAGCCCACGGCUCAACCGUGGAGGGUCAUUGGAAACUGGGAAACUUGAGUGCAGAAGAGGAAAGUGGAAUUCCAUGUGUAGCGGUGAAAUGCGCAGAGAUAUGGAGGAACACCAGUGGCGAAGGCGACUUUCUGGUCUGUAACUGACGCUGAUGUGCGAAAGCGUGGGGAUCAAACA
rnacentral:rRNA from 1 species